rnacentral:rRNA from 1 species
AUACGGGAGGGCAGUCGUUGUCGGAAUUACUGGGCGUAAAGGGCGCGUAGGCGGCCGUGUUAAGUCGGGAGUGAAAAGCCCGGGGCUCAACCCCGGAAUGGCUCUCGAAACUGCGGGGCUCGAGUGCGGAAGAGGCAACUGGAAUUCCCAGUGUAGCGGUGAAAUGCGUAGAUAUUGGGAAGAACACCUGAGGCGAAGGCGGGUUGCUGGGCCGACACUGACGCUGAGGCGCGAAAGCGUGGGGAGCAAACAGGG